GCGGCAAUAGCUCAGUGGUAUGGCCCCCGCUUCCGUGCGGGGAACCCGGGUUCGAUUCCCGGCUGCUUCC
rnacentral:tRNA from 1 species